rnacentral:rRNA from 1 species
CUACAGGCUUAACACAUGCAAGUCGAGGGGCAUCAGGAAGAAAGCUUGCUUUCUUUGCUGGCGACCGGCGCACGGGUGAGUAACACGUAUCCAACCUGCCCUUUACUCGGGGAUAGCCUUUCGAAAGAAAGAUUAAUACCCGAUAGCAUAAUGAUUCCGCAUGGUUUCAUUAUUAAAGGAUUCCGGUAAAGGAUGGGGAUGCGUUCCAUUAGGUUGUUGGUGAGGUAACGGCCCACCAAGCCUUCGAUGGAUAGGGGUUCUGAGAGGAAGGUCCCCCACAUUGGAACUGAGACACGGUCCAAACUCCUACGGGAGGCAGCAGUGAGGAAUAUUGGUCAAUGGGCGCUAGCCUGAACCAGCCAAGUAGCGUGAAGGAUGAAGGCUCUAUGGGUCGUAAACUUCUUUUAUAUAAGAAUAAAGUGCAGUAUGUAUACUGUUUUGUAUGUAUUAUAUGAAUAAGGAUCGGCUAACUCCGUGCCAGCAGCCGCGGUAAUACGGAGGAUCCGAGCGUUAUCCGGAUUUAUUGGGUUUAAAGGGAGCGUAGGUGGACUGGUAAGUCAGUUGUGAAAGUUUGCGGCUCAACCGUAAAAUUGCAGUUGAUACUGUCAGUCUUGAGUACAGUAGAGGUGGGCGGAAUUCGUGGUGUAGCGGUGAAAUGCUUAGAUAUCACGAAGAACUCCGAUUGCGAAGGCAGCUCACUGGACUGCAACUGACACUGAUGCUCGAAAGUGUGGGUAUCAAACAGGAUUAGAUACCCUGGUAGUCCACACAGUAAACGAUGAAUACUCGCUGUUUGCGAUAUACAGUAAGCGGCCAAGCGAAAGCAUUAAGUAUUCCACCUGGGGAGUACGCCGGCAACGGUGAAACUCAAAGGAAUUGACGGGGGCCCGCACAAGCGGAGGAACAUGUGGUUUAAUUCGAUGAUACGCGAGGAACCUUACCCGGGCUUAAAUUGCAGUGGAAUGAUGUGGAAACAUGUCAGUGAGCAAUCACCGCUGUGAAGGUGCUGCAUGGUUGUCGUCAGCUCGUGCCGUGAGGUGUCGGCUUAAGUGCCAUAACGAGCGCAACCCUUAUCUUUAGUUACUAACAGGUUAUGCUGAGGACUCUGGAGAGACUGCCGUCGUAAGAUGUGAGGAAGGCGGGGAUGACGUCAAAUCAGCACGGCCCUUACGUCCGGGGCUACACACGUGUUACAAUGGGGGGUACAGAAGGCAGCUACCUGGUGACAGGAUGCUAAUCCCAAAAGCCUCUCUCAGUUCGGAUCGAAGUCUGCAACCCGACUUCGUGAAGCUGGAUUCGCUAGUAAUCGCGCAUUAGCCACGGCGCGGUGAAUACGUUCCCGGGCCUUGUACACACCGCCCGUCAAGCCAUGGGAGCCGGGGGUACCUGAAGUACGUAACCGCAAGGAUCGUCCUAGGGUAAAACUGGUGACUGGGGCUAAGUCG